rnacentral:tRNA from 1 species
UGGCUCAGUUGGUAAAGCACAAAGCUCUUAACCUUGUGGACGUGGGUUCAAGCCCCGU